UUUUCCUGGAAUAUUGCAUGAGAUGCCUCAGUGAAGUGCCUGAAGUCACUAGGAAGGGAGCUAGAACAUCAAUCUGCAUCUGUUGUCUCCUGCGGAGUUGUCAUCACUCAUCUUGUCUGAACUAACAGCUGUGGUUUCUGCAGCUGAGUAAUCUGGUGCCAUUUACUUCAGUCACAACUGGAACUGGAAAUCCUUCGGAGACUGACAAGUUAACAAAUGGACACUAGCAAUAUUCUGUUGCUCAUCUGCCUGAUGUUGUAUUUUAAUUAGACUGAGGAAGAUAAAAAGGCUGCUUCUUCAGGUAUAAGUUACUACAAGACCCUACGGGAAAAAAAAAAAAAAAAAAAACGAAACUGUUUAAGGGAAGGGAGUGUUUAUGUCAGUCACAGAAGGCUGACUUCUCUCUGUCCUGCCCUGUUGACAAAUCUUGCUAACAUUGUAAAAGAAUCACCCCUUCACUCUGAUGUGGGAACUGUU
rnacentral:lncRNA from 1 species